rnacentral:lncRNA from 1 species
CACUCAAGCAACCAGGAGCACAAGGCAAAGGCAAGGAACUUUGUAUCCUGUUUCCAUGAUUUUCAAAAGGAUGUUCUCCUUCCUUCAACAUCAAUUGAUUUAAGAUGUAUUUUUUAAGAAGAUAACCCUGGGCCUAAAGCCAGAUAGAGUGCAUUCUUAAGAAACUCACUAAGAAGUGAUGUGCCUCCAACGCCCUGCGACUCAUCUGGGAGAGAAAUGCCUGCCAAGAGAGGCCUUUUGAACAUUCAGAGGAGUAGCUGAUUCUGCCAGCAUAGGAUCAAAGCCAAGAAGCUCACUCCCGAGACUAGAGCAAGGUCAGCAAGGAAACCAG